GCUCCGGUAGUCUAGUAGUUAGAGCGUCCAUCUCGAAUGCGGAAGGUCGUGGGUUUGAACCCCAGCCGGGUCA